AUAUUAAAUUUGAGUAGAAUUAUUUUUAUUUAGGCUGAAAACAAUUAAACAAUACUACACUUUACAUGCAUCCAUUCUUUUAUUUCUAACAUUCUCCUAUGAACCGUUAUCUUUUUCCUUUUCGGCGUGCUCUGCAUAGAAAAUUUCAGAAAAAAUAGGUCAAAAAGUAACAAUAAUGACAAUUAAAAGAAGUUUGGGUUUUUAAAUAGGUCGUUGUGUAAAUACUUUUGCCUACCGUUGUAUGUUUCGUAAUAAUGCUGUUUCUUUUGAUAUUAAUAGAUCACCUUGAAAGUUAUAAAAAAAAAACCAACACGCAAACUUCAGCCUCACGCAGAAAAAGUUUUAGGACGAGUUCGCCUUGAUUUUUCUGAAGAUAUACUAUCAAAGAAAGCAAUUAAAUUUGACUAAAGAUUUGUUCUGCCUGGAGUUCUAUUAAAACAUAACGAUGAUUUUUUUUUUAAUAUCUACCAAUCUUCAACCCAUCAAUGCAUCUAUAUGUAACUAUGUACAUAUAUACACAUACAUACAUAAAAACGAGUACAAGCACGUUAAACUAUAAUUGAUAAAAUAAAAAAAAAUAAAUAAAAUAUAAUUGAGAGCUGAAAAAUGUGUAAUUAAGGAAAGCUUAAAGCAAUUUUUCAUUAAAAAAUAUAAUUCAGUAAGAAAUUAGUUAAAUUUACUUGCUAAAAAUCUUUAAUAUUUUUUUUGGGACCAAUUCUGCCAACAUAAGCCUAUAAUUACAUCGAACAACUUAGUCAAACAUUUAAUAACUUAAUUGAUUUUAAAAUACGUUAAAUGCUCCACACAACCUUGUAAAUUUACCAAA